rnacentral:pre_miRNA from 1 species
UACAAUGUUUUGACUCUUCAUCUUAUUUAAAAUUUUAUUACGAUUAAUAUUUUUAUUCUUACUAGAUAAUAAAACAUGAAUAGUACUUUAUGCGUAACUAUUUUUUAAAAGUUUUUUUAUAAAUUUUUUAAAUAAGAUGAUUACUCAAACAUUAGAUACGGAAAAAC